rnacentral:rRNA from 1 species
UGCUUAGCGUAGCACCUCAGAGUAUUUAGCUAGGCCUUAUUAAGUUCACAACAAAAGUUGAAACUGCGAAGCGCUCAGUAAAUCAGUUAUUGUCCCUUCGAUCGUAGUACCACAUCGGAUAACUGUGGCAAAUCUAGAGCUAAUACGUGCGAAAAUUACUGCCCUGCAGUAGCAUUUAUUAGUAUAAACACAUUUGUGUAGGUGAAUCUAGAUAACUUUGCAUAUCAUCCAAUUGGAUGAUAGUUCGAUCGAAUUUCUGCCCUAUCAUUUUGUCGGUGAGGUAGUGGCACACCGAGGAUGCAACGGGUAACGGGGAAUCAGGGUUCGAUUCCGGAGAGGGAGCCUGAGAAACGGCUACCACAUCCAAGGAAGGCAGCAGGCGCGCAAAUUACCCAAUCCAGACACUGGGAGGUAGUGACGAGAAAUACCGAAUCAAACUAGAAGUUUGAUACCGGAACAUACUUGAUUUAAUAAAUCUCGUUUUAAUUGGAGGGCAAGUCUGGUGCCAGCAGCCGCGGUAAUUCCAGCUCCAAUAGUGUACAUCAAAAUUGUUGCACUUAAAACGCUCGUAGUUGGAUUGCAGUCCGUUCGCCAGCAUGGCUAGUCUUUUUAGCAGUCUGGCGGCGGAAAAUUUUGCAGGGCUCGGCUGCCCGCUUUAUUGCGGACGGCAGAAUUCCCUGCAGAGCGUGCCUUGAAUAAAGCAUAGUGCUCAAAACAGGCGCAAGCUCGAGUGUAAUAGCAUGGAACGAAUACACGCCACAAUUGUGGUUGAUUAAAAGGAACAUUAGAGGGCAUUAGUACUUGAUGGCGAGAGGUGAAAUUCUUAGACCCAUCAAAGACUGACUACUGCGAAAGCAUUUGCCAAGAAUGUUUUCAUUAAUCAAGAACGAAAGUUAAAGGUUCGAAGACGAUGCCGAUGCUGAACACAUAUGCUAGCAUGCAUUGCAAUAGACCGCUCAUCCUGCAUGAGGUUGGUUAGUUUCCACGCGAAAGCGAAAGUUUUCAGGCUGUGGGGAUAGUAUAGUUGCAAGGCUGAAAUUUCAAGAAAUUGACGGAAAGGCACCACCAGGAGUGGAGCCUGCGGCUUAAUUUGACUCAACACGGGGCAACUUACCAGGUCCAGACAUUGGAAGGAUUGACAGACUGACGAGAUCUUUCAUGAUUCGAUGAUUGGUGGUGCAUGGCCGUUCUUAGUUGGUGGAGUGAUCUGUCAGGUUAAUUCCGGUAACGAACGAGAUUUUAGUCCCUAUUUUCUGACUCUUCUCUGUUAAGGGUGAAUAGGGAGACUUUACUUGUAAGAGUAAGGAGGUAAAGCAAUAACAGGUCUGUGAUGCCCUUCGAUGUCCUGGGCUGCACGCGCGCUACAAUGAAAACAGCAAAAAGUCUCUGUUCCGAGAGGGACGGGCAAUCUCUUAAUUGUUUUCAUGCUAUGGAUUGAGCCUUGUAAUUAUUGCUCAUGAAAGAGGAAUUCCUUGUAAGUGCGAGUCACCAACUCGUGUUGAAUACGUCUCUGCCUUUUGUACACACCGCCCGUCGCUACUACCGAUUGAAUCUAUUUCCAAGAAUGCCGAUCACGUAUGUCACAGAUUGUCUAAUCGGCAUGGAAUCG